rnacentral:rRNA from 1 species
UACAGAGGGUGCAAGCGUUGUUCGGAAUUAUUGGGCGUAAAGCGCGCGCAGGCGGCCCUGUGCGCUGCCGGUGAAAGCUCCCGGCUUACCUGGGAGAGGUUCGGCAGGACGGCAGGGCUGGAGGGUGGGAGAGGUCGGUGGAAUUCCCGGUGUAGUGGUGAAAUGCGUAGAGAUCGGGAGGAACACCCGUAGCGAAGGCGGCCGACUGGACCACACCUGACGCUGAGGCGCGAAGGCCAGGGGAGCGAACGGG